rnacentral:rRNA from 1 species
UGAUAUACGCUCGUCUCAAAGGUUAAGCCAUGCAUGUCUAAGUACAAGCUUCCUAGAAAGUGAAACCGCAUAAGGCUCAGUAUAACAGCUAUAAUUUACAAGAUCCUCAUCCAAACAGUUACUUGGAUAACUGUGGAAAAGCCAGAGCUAAUACAUGCAUUAUGCCGGGACUGUUGGCCUCCGGGUCGGCGGAACUGGUGCACUUAUUAGUUAAACCAAUCGCCUCCGGGCGCUUUGAGUUGAAAUCUGGAUAAGGAUGCCGAUCGUACGGUCGCUUGCGACUGACGACAGAUCUUUCAAAUGUCUGCCCUAUCAACUAUUGAUGGUAGUGUAGAGGACUACCAUGGUUGCGACGGGUAACGGGGAAUCAGGGUUCGAUUCCGGAGAGGGAGCCUGAGAAAUGGCUACCACAUCCAAGGAAGGCAGCAGGCGCGUAAAUUACCCAAUCCCGGCACGGGGAGGUAGUGACGAGAAAUAACAAUAUGGACCUCUCUAACGAUGGUCCAUAAUUGGAAUGAGUUGAGCAUAAAUCCUUUUGCAAGGAUCAAGUGGAGGGCAAGUCUGGUGCCAGCAGCCGCGGUAAUUCCAGCUCCACUAGCGUAUAUUA